UGGUUACAAUGUAAGGUUUCCCCCA
rnacentral:piRNA from 1 species